GGGGUUAAUCUAAAUGCUCAGGAUGUUUGUUAAUGAUUUUAAGCAGAUGAGUUUUUGUUUAUUCUGAAACCUGCUCGUGUUUGUUUGAGCUUCCAUCAGCAGCACAGUGUUUUGUUUUUUGUAUCAGGUGAUCGAGUUUUCUCCUGCAGCCAUCGCUGCUUUCAUCGCCAUGGUGGGAAUCCUCUCCAUCGUCGCUCAGACUCUGUUCCUCAGUGUGCUAAUGAGAACCAUCGGGAA